CUGGAUCUCCCCUGCCCCCAGCUGGUUGCCCCCAGGCCAGGCCUGGUUUUAUACCCUCCUCAGUUCCCUUUGGCACCCAGACAGGACUAGGGAGACAGUGGCCCCAGAAGCAGUUUAAAAUUUUUUUAUUAUUUUGAAAAGGGAUUACAUUCACAUGUUUCAAAAUCCAAACAAGAUAACACAGCAUAGAGAAAGAAGCCUUUCCGCCUUCCUACUCUGUAACCCUGCUUUUCGUUUCCUGUGUGUCCUUUCAGAGCUCCUUUUGCUUUCAAAAGCAAAUACAAAUACGGGCAGCUUCUGAAUGGAUGGCCAAGUGACUCUGGAGCUUCCGCGCUGUGUGAGGGCUGGGCUUUCUGUCCCUGUUCACCCUCGAACCCAGGCUUCAGCCACCGCACGGGAGAAGAUGGUUCAGACCACACCUCUACCCUGACUCAGCACACACAGCUGUACCGUCAGGGGCUGCAAACCAACAUCUCUCAGGGCCUUCCUGGAAGCUGCGGCUGGACUCCCCUUGUACUCCAGGGGAGCAUCCCUGGAGGCCCAGGUCGGGGCUCCUGGAGGGUCCCUGGGUUCUGGGGGACAGAAGAACAGGGAGGAAGAAUCCAGAUGUGGCUCACUGGGCUCUGUGGAUCUGGCACUGGAACAGCUGUCCAGGCUUUGGGGCCCCCGACACCCCUGCUGCUCUCCCUCAGGCCCCAGAUCUGCUUGGGCCCCCAGUGGGCAACCGCUCGGUGCUGGCCCACCACAGGGAAAUAUUCCGGUGGAGGGGGAUCUGAGACUGCCUUGGCCAAUAGAAUGCAGCCAAUGUGGUGCUAUGCGUCUGCCUGGCCUCGGCCUUGAGAGACCUGGGAGCUUCCAUUUAUGUCAUCUUGGAGUGCUGAGUUACCUUAAAGAAGUCUAAAACUCAGAGAGACCAUGUGGAAAGAGAGGAGCCAGCGGCCCUGCAGUCCUUCCAGCCUCCCAGCUGAGGCAACAGACAUGGUCAGAAGCCAUCUAGGACCUUCAGCGGCAGUGAAGUCUCCCCAGUCGAUGCCACACAGAACUGAGAUGAGCUGUUCUCACCAAGCUCUGCCCAAGUUCCAGAGCUAGGAACAAAUAAACAGUUGUUUUAAACCACGAAGUUGUGGGCGUGGUCGUUAUGCAGAAAUAGAUAACUGAUCCAAUCCUUCAUGCCUUCUGCACCAUCUUCACCCCAACUUGGCUUGUGCAAGGUUGAGCUCCUUGGCCCCAGCUGACUGGACAAGGGGAUGGGCACCUGACUUCAAGGCAGCCAACCGAUUGGCUGGGCCCCAGGGCACAGCCACUCUCUCUCCUGGGCAAACAGGGCUCAUGAGCUGGAGUCUGCUUCUAUCCUCUCCACACAGCCCUGAGGCCUCCAGUGGCAAAGCAGAGGGUAUGGCCAGGUUUGGUUUCUACCCCAACCCAUUUGCCAUCCCUGUUGUGUCCCGCACAGUCCCUUACCCUAC
rnacentral:lncRNA from 1 species